GCCUUCCCGGAAACCCGACCUGAGCGUCGCGCGUCCCGCAGUGACCUUUAGAGAAAGAAAAGGGGAAUCCCCUCGGAGCCCCAGACAGGCGGAAACAAACGCAGGGGGCUGGAUCUCAGGCAAUGGGCGAAGGUUUGGGGCAGCCGUUCUCAAAGUGUUCCCAGGGCCGCUGCGAGUCCUGAGGUCACUUGGCUUUUUCCCUCUUCUGGAAUUUUCCAGAGCCAGUGGGGUAUGAUCUCAUCGCCCUCAUGACUCAAGGAGUGUGUGCUUGCCUGUUGUAUUUCCUAGGAUUUCCUAAAGGUAUGCAAUGAUGUUAUAGCUCUGAUGACUGACAGAAUAUGUGCUUGUGUACUGUGUUUCCAGAAUUUUUGAAGGGUCUCACAAUGUAGCCCAGGCUGUUCUUGAACAAAUGGCGGUCUUCCCGCCUCAGCCUCCCAAGAAGCUGGACCUACAGGCAUGUGUCAGCACUCCUGGAUUUGCAGUGAUUCUUGUUGAUGUUUGCCAACCACCAAGGUCAAAGACUAUAUUGUUGGAUACAGUGUCCUGUGUCGCCGUCGUAGGAAACACUCCACAGCUCCAGCAGCAGCUCACAGCUUGCCAUUCUGGUCACAGUUCCACGCUUGUUUCGGGCCGCUUUUACCUGCUUCUUCCGCGGUGAACGACACCAAGCGGAGGUGAGAAUGGUACACACGUGAAGGUCUGGCCCAUCAGUGAGACAGACUUGGAUUCACCUGAAAGGAUCCAAUGGAAUAGCAUUAGAAGCUUGGAAUCUGUUUUUCUCAAAGCACAGUAGAAAAAGUAGAAAUAGAGUUUCCUUAUUUACUCGUUUGAAACAGAAAAGAGUCCUAGGUUGAGAAAAUGUAAAUGGAGGCCUAGGGUUUUUUUGUUUGUUUGUUUUUGUUUCUUUUUUUUGAGACAGGGUCUCCCAAUGUAGUUCAGGCUGGCCUUGAACUCACUAUACAGCCCAGGCUGGCCUUCAAUUCGUGGUAAUCCUCCUGCCUCUGCUUCCUGAGUGUCGGGAUUGCAGGUGUGCGCCACAACGCCUGCCUUGACCGAGGAUUUUGACAUGUCGAUCUUCAAGACAUUUUGUUUGCAGUAUGUGGGGGAUCCAUUUGAUGAUAACUCAUCAACUAAGCUAGAGCUGUGUGUCAUUCAUUACUUUAUAAUUUACCAAAGUAAAAAAAAUGUAGACUCCAUUUGUCUGUAUGAAGAAACAGUGGAACAGGGAGACAUGGCUGAAGGCCUGGGGAAUGUUGAGUGUGUGCAUGAGAAGGGGUCGAUCACCCCUUUGGGCUCUCUGAACAGCACCAUGCGGGAGGCAGCAGAAAGGGAGCCAGGGAGAAAGCGGUUGAUCCUUUUCUAAGAAAGAUUUGUAUUACUGAAGGCACUAGCUGUGUUCAGUGUCAGAAAUACCGGAAGAAACGCUAGUCACCAGGGCACAAGGAACCAAAAUUGCAUUGGAUGGGCUCAAAGGUCAUGUAUUUGAAGUGAGCCUUGCUGAUCUGCAGAGUAAUGAAGUUGCAUUUAGAAAAUUCGAGCUGAUCACUGAAGAUGUUUGGGGCAAAACCCGCCUGCCUAACUGAAAUGAAAAAACAAAAGACAAAGCAGGGACUAACAGUCUCAAAGCUUGGCAGAGACUGACGGUCUCAAGGCGCCCCUCCUGCUAAACCCACGAAGGCCACUGUGCCCGAAAGAUGAACUGGCGAAACAACAGCUGCCUGUACGGCCCUGUGUCUUAAAGAUAAUCUGUAAAAGCAACAUCUGCCUGCACCUCCCUAGCCCUGCGCUAAGUUCUGCUUCUGUAAAAUUCUGCUUGCUUCCCCACCCCGCCUAAAGAGCAAGAUCGAAAUGAAAACAAACUUAGAAUCGGGGCUCAGGCUCUGGAAGGCGACUUCCACUGAGCCCGCCAGUGAAUAAACCUGCCUUUCCUUUCAAUUCUCUGAGCGCCGCUCUCUUCCAUGGUCUGCCUGUCCUCCGAGUGCUGUAACAUAACUUCCAUGUCAUGGAUCUCACCGUGACAAAAUGUGACUCACCGUCAAAAAAUGACAGACUGUGAUCGAAGCUCUUGCUGAUGUCAAGACUACCAAUGGUUAUUUGCUUCGUUUGUUCUAUGCCGGUUUUACUGAAAAACCGAAACAAUCAGAUACGGAAGGCCCCUUCCGCUCAGCGUCAGCAGGUCCGCACAGUCGGGAAGAGGAUGGAAAUCCUGACCCGAGAGGUGCAGAUGGUCAAUAAACGGAGUCCAGACAGCGUUGGGAAAGACAUAGAAGAGGCUUGCUGGUCUGUUUAUCCUCUUCAUGAUGUCUUCGUCAGAAAAGGAAAAAUAGAAGCCCGAGUUUGAGCUGGGAAAACUCCUGCAGCUUCGUGGGGAAGGUAGUAGCCCUGGAAUAGCACUGAGGAAGAGACUGGUGCUGAAGCUGAACGAGCUGAUGGGUAUGAACCACCAGUCCGAGAGUCUGUUUACAAUCUAGAUUUUUAAUAGUGAUAAAUAAAAUCCUAUUUGUGGGGGGAAAAAAGAUCUCUUAGGCUGGCUCCCCUGUCUCUGCCAUGUCCCCUGGUCCCAGCUGUCACUGUUAAGGGAAGCUGGGGUCCAACUGCUCCCUCGGGAUCCCCCUCCAGCCGCUGCCCUCGUCCUCAGCAGCCCUCCCUCCACCUCAGUUUCUCCGAAGCCCUCCUGGCAGGCAGGGAUACAGUAGCUGCGCCUCCAUGCUAGCUGUUUGUGAAAUGCAACCUGGCCACCACUUGCUGGCCAUAUGGACUUUCAGGGAAGUUACUUAAUGUUCCUAAUCCAUGGUUUCCCCAUCUAUAAAAUGGAAACAAUGGAGACUUCUGAUGGGUUCUGUGAGGAUUAAAUAAGAUCAUUGAGGAUGAAGUGCUCAAUAAAUAAUGC
ensembl:lncRNA